rnacentral:rRNA from 1 species
GGUGAGUGGAUGAAAGCUCCGGCGGCAUAGGAUGGGCCUGCGGCGUAUCAGGUUGUAGGGGGUGUAACGUACCCUCUAGCCCUCUACGCGUACGGGUGUUGGGAGACAUAGCCCGGAGAUGGAUUCUGAGACACGAAUCCAGACCCUACGGGGUGCAGCAGGCGCGAAAACUUGGCAAUGCGAGAAAUCGUGACCAGGGAACUCCAAGUGCAUCGGGUAAGACCGGUGCUUUUCUUGACUCUAAAUAGGUCUUGGAAUAAGGGGUGGGUAAGGACGGUGCCAGCCGCCGCGGUAAUACCGGCGCCUCAAGUGGUAGUCGCUUUUAUUGGGCCUAAAACGUCCGUAGCCGGUCUGAUACAUUCGUGGGUAAAUCAACCAGCUCAACUGGUUGAAUUCUGCGAGGACGGUCAGACUUGGGACCGGGAGAGGUGUGGGGUACGCUCAGGGUAGGGGUAAAAUCCUGUCAUCCUGAGCGGACCACCUGUUGCGAAGGCGCCACACUAGAACGGAUCCGACGGUCAGGGACGAAGCCUAGGGGCACGAACCGGAUUAGAUACCCGGGUAGUCCUAGGUGUAAACGCUGUGGACUUGAUGUUGGGGGUGCUCCGAGCACUCUCAGUGUCGAAGCGAAGGUGAUAAGUCCACUGCCUGGGAAGUACGGUCGCAAGGCUGAAACUUAAAGGAAUUGGCGGGGGAGCACCGCAACCUGAGGAUUGUGCGGUUUAAUUGGACUCAACGCCGGGA